UACGGAGGAUGCAAGCGUUAUCCGGAUUCAUUGGGUUUAAAGGGUGCGUAGGCGGGCUAUUAAGUCAGUGGUGAAAUCCUGCAGCUUAACUGCAGAACUGCCGUUGAUACUGAUAGUCUUGAGUUUGGUUAAGGUAGGCGGAAUGUGCAGUGUAGCGGUGAAAUGCAUAGAUAUUGCACGGAACUCCGAUUGCGCAGGCAGCUUACUAAACUACUACUGACGCUCAGGCACGAAGGCGUGGGGAUCAAACA
rnacentral:rRNA from 1 species